rnacentral:rRNA from 1 species
AGAGCGCAAGGGGAAUGCCUUGGCAUCAGGAGCCGAAGAAGGACGUGACAAGCUGCGAAAAGCCUCGGGGAGGAGCAAAUAUCCAUUGAUCCGGGGAUAUCCGAAUGGGGCAACCCGGCUGGACAAUAUCCAGUCAUCCUGCGUUGAACAAAAUAGGCGUAGGAAGGGAACCGCCUGAACUGAAACAUCUAAGUAGGGCGAGGAAGAGACAUCAACCGAGAUUCCGCAAGUAGUGGCGAGCGAACGCGGAAGAGGCCAAACCGAGGGAUUUAUUCCUCGGGGUUGCGGACAGUCAUUUAGCGGAAGUUAUCUAGGAGAAGGGUCUGGGAAGGCCCGCCACAGAGGGUGAGAGCCCCGUAUCCGAAAGAGAAGGCCGUGCGACUGAAUCCAGAGUACCGCGGGACACGUGAAACCCCGUGGGAAACAGGGGGGACCACCCUCCAAGCCUAAAUACUACCUGAUGACCGAUAGAGGAGCAGUACCGUGAGGGAAAGGUGAAAAGGACCCCGGGAGGGGAGUGAAAGAGAACCUGAAACCUUGUGCUUACAAGCUGUCAAAGCACGUUAACGUGUGAUGGCGUACUUUUUGUCGAACGGUCCGGCGAGUUAUAGUAACGAGCGAGCUUAAGGCAUUCAGUGCCGGAGGCGAAGCGAGAGCGAGUCUGAAUAGGGCGUAAAGUUCGUUGCCAUAGACCCGAAACCGGGUGACCUACCCAUGAGCAGGUUGAAGUUUAGGGCUAGCGUUAUGUUAGAUUACCGGAGGUAAAGCACUGAAUGGUAGCGGGGCCGAUAAGGUUACCAACGCCUAUCAAACUAAGAAUGCCGGCUAAUUGAUGCAUAGCAGUCAGACAGUGUGAGAUAAGUUUCAUUGUCAAAAGGGAAACAGCCCAGACCUACAGCUAAGGUCCCGAAUAGAUGCUAAGUGGAAAACGAUGUGGAGUUGCGAAAACAACCAGGAUGUUGGCUUAGAAGCAGCCACUCAUUAAAAGAGUGCGUAAUAGCUCACUGGUCGAGUGACUCUGCGCGGAAAAUGUAACGGGGCUAAGCAUCUAACCGAAGCUUAGGAUUGUCGUAAGACAGUGGUAGGGGAGCGUUCCAUGUGGGGUGAAGUCGUAGCGAAAGCAGCGGUGGACUGCAUGGAAGUGAGAAUGCCGGAAUGAGUAGCGAGAAUUAUGUGGGAAUCAUAAUGGCCGAAAAUCUAAGGUUUCUUGGGGAAGGUUCGUCCGCCCAAGGUAAGCCGGGAGCUAAGGCGAGGCCGAAAGGCGUAGUCGAUGCACAUACGGUAGAAAUUCCGUAGCCACCGAACUUUAAGUCAGAGGGACACUUUUGGAUAGCGGAACCCGGGCGUUGGUUGACCCGGGCGAAAGGGAGCGAAAAUAUAGUAGCGAAGUCCGCGAUGCUGAGAGGCGAGAAAAGCUCUGAUGGAUACUAAGGUGCCCGUACCGCAAACCGACACAGGUAGAUGAGGAGAGAAUCCUAAGGCCAACGGGAGAAGGGUUGUUAAGGAACUCGGCAAGUUGACCCCGUAACUUCGGAAUAAGGGGAGCCUCGAAAGAGGCCGCAGUGAAAAGGCCCAAGCAACUGUUUACCAAAAACACAGGUCUAUGCUAAAUCGAAAGAUGACGUAUAUGGGCUGACGCCUGCCCGGUGCCGGAAGGUUAAGAGGAGAUGUCAGCGCAAGCGAAGCAUUGAAUUGAAGCCCCGGUAAACGGCGGCCGUAACUAUAACGGUCCUAAGGUAGCGAAAUUCCUUGUCAGGUAAGUUCUGACCCGCACGAAAGGCGUAAUGAUUUGGGCACUGUCUCAACAGCCCGCCCGGCGAAAUUGUAGUACUGGUGAAGAUACCAGUUACCCGCAACUAGACGGAAAGACCCCAUGGAGCUUUACUGCAGCUUAAUACUGGAAUUCGGUAACCCAUGUACAGGAUAGGUGGGAGGCUUGGAAGCAGGGGCGUCAGCUCUUGUGGAGCCGCCGGUGGGAUACCACUCUUGGAUUGCUGAAUUUCUAACCUGCGGCCGUGAAUCCGGUCGGGGGACACUGUUAGGCGGGCAGUUUGACUGGGGCGGUCGCCUCCUAAAGAGUAACGGAGGCGCUCAAAGGUUGGCUCAGCACGGACGGAAAUCGUGCAGUGAGUGUAAACGUAGAAGCCAGCCUAACUGCGAGACCGACGGGUCGAGCAGUAACGAAAGUUGGAGUUAGUGAUCCGGUGGUAUGUGAGUGGAAAUGCCAUCGCUCAACGGAUAAAAGCUACCCUGGGGAUAACAGGCUGAUCUCCCCCAAGCGUCCACAGCGACGGGGAGGUUUGGCACCUCGAUGUCGGCUCGUCACAUCCUGGGGCUGAAUUCGGUCCCAAGGGUUCGGCUGUUCGCCGAUUAAAGUGGCACGCGAGCUGGGUUCAGAACGUCGUGAGACAGUUCGGUCCCUAUCUGUUGCGGGCGGAAGAGAUUUGAAGGGAGCUGUCCUUAGUACGAGAGGACCGGGAUGGACGUACCUCUGGUGCACCAGUUGUCCUGCCAAGGGCAUAGCUGGGUAGCUAAGUACGGACGAGAUAAACGCUGAAAGCAUCUAAGCGUGAAACUCCCCCUAAGAUGAGAUCUCUCACCUCGAAAGAGGGUCAGGGCCCAGGAAGACUACCUGGU